CCUACGGGUGGCAGCAGUGAGGAAUAUUGGUCAAUGGGCGGAAGCCUGAACCAGCCAAGUCGCGUGAGGGAAUAAGGCCCUAUGGGUCGUAAACCUCUUUUGCCGGGGAGCAAGGGCCGGGACGCUUCCCGGUCCGGAGAGUACCCGGAGAAAAAGCAUCGGCUAACUCCGUGCCAGCAGCCGCGGUAAUACGGAGGAUGCGAGCGUUAUCCGGAUUUAUUGGGUUUAAAGGGUGCGUAGGCGGGCUUUUAAGUCAGCGGUAAAAAUUCGGGGCUCAAACCCGUCCGGCCGUUGAAACUGGGGGCCUUGAGUGGGCGAGAAGAAGGCGGAAUGCGUGGUGUAGCGGUGAAAUGCAUAGAUAUCACGCAGAACCCCGAUUGCGAAGGCAGCCUGCCGGCGCCCGACUGACGCUGAGGCACGAAAGUGCGGGGAUCGAACAGGAUUAGAUACCCUUGUAGUC
rnacentral:rRNA from 1 species